rnacentral:rRNA from 1 species
UACGGAGGGUGCAAGCGUUAAUCGGAAUUACUGGGCGUAAAGCGUGCGCAGGCGGUUUGUUAAGCCAGAUGUGAAAGCCCCGGGCUCAACCUGGGAACUGCGUUUGGUACUGGCAAGCUAGAGUACGGCAGAGGGGGGUGGAAUUCCACGUGUAGCAGUGAAAUGCGUAGAGAUGUGGAGGAACACCGAUGGCGAAGGCAGCCCCCUGGGUCAAGACUGACGCUCAUGCACGAAAGCGUGGGGAGCAAACAGG